GGUUAUUGCUGCUCAAUCUCUAACCAUCUCUAUCUUUCUUCAUUUACGGUGGCCACCUCCAAGCAGGGAUGCCGCCGCCGUAUUCCAGACGUCGCCGCUGCCCAUUUCUCAUUUCUUGUUCAGCCUCGUCAUCUCUCCCUGCGUGGAUGAGAUGCCGGUGGAUCUGAUCGUCGAGGCUCUUCAGAUCUAUCUGAUCCGCCCUCACGAAUCCGCCGCCGGUGUGGACGUUCCCUCCACCAUUUCUCCGGAAAGCGCAGAUGCAACGUCAGUGGAGCUUACGGUGGGAACGCGCAAUAAGCGACGACCUUCAACAACGAAAAGAUCUGAGGCAAAAAUUCUAUUCCUCGUCAGAUUUUUGGCAAAUGCCCCAAAACAUUGAGAACACGGUUGAGAAAUCGAAGGGAGUCAUGCAGCUAUUCAAAUUUCUAAAUGUAAAAGGAAAUGCCAUGAUUAACAGUUCAAAAUCAAAGUCAAAGCUUAAAUGGGCGAGAGAAAGAAGCAUGCCAAGAAGUUCAUCUGAUAAGCGUAUAAAACAUGUACGAAAAAGUUUGAAAGGAACAGCUAGAGAUGCUGAGGACAACAGUAACACGAUUGUAAGCAAAGCGAGCCAAUAAGUCCGGAUAGUCCUAUUGAUGGGACUCCUAGACCUGCAGUUCAAUCGUCCUGCAAAGUUUUUACUGCUUCUGAUACCAGCACACAUGGUGGAUUUUCUGUCUUUCAUAAACAUGCAAAUGAGUGUCUUCCCCCAUUGAAUACGAGCCAACAGAUUCUGAGCUUCCGACACAGGAAUUGAUUGCUAGGGAUACACAUGGAAAUGAAUGGCAAUUCAAACAUAUAUUUAGAGAGGAAGAGAAUGGGGUUUUAAGAGUACAAAACGACUAAAAUUGGUGCUGUGCAUUAAAGUAAAUGAUCCCAAUAGAUUACAAAUAGAAGUGGCAAAAAAGGCAAAUCAUUGAACAGAAAUUGUAAAAUGAGUUGCAGGAACUUCGUGAUCCAAAAUAUGAAUGAGAGAUGGCACUUAAGAUUUCACAGAUGAGGUGCAUCACGGCAAUGACAAAUACAGGUGACUUAUUGAGUUAAAAAAAAACACCUAACCCUAAAAAUAUAAUAGCCGCCUCUCACUCUCAACUCUUCAGAAAAAGGAAAGAGAAGGAAAAGAAAAGCGGCCUCUCUCUCUUCACUCUGCAAUCAUUAUAGAGAGAAGAUAACAUUGCAAGCAUGGGCGGCUACAAUACCUACUCCUACUCCUACUCCUACUCCUACUCUACUGAAUCAAGACAUCACCAUAUUAAAAAAAAAAAGGUAUGUAAUUCUUUCUUUUCGAGCUAUGUCCUGUAUCUAUAUUUGACAACAUAGUCAUAUCUAACUUACAUGAGCAUAAUGUUGAUGAGGUAUUAGAGAUUAUUAGAGUCAGAUUUCAAAUACAAUUACUACUCUUUGCAAAUAUUAAUUCUAGAAUGCUUUGCAAAUCCUAUCAUCUAUUUAUUUAAUAGGGUGUAUUAUGUCUCCAAUUUUCUUUACACAAACGAAUACAGUGCUUAGUUUUUAAAAUAUAUAUACUACUUGAUAGGUUUUUCAUUUAAUAUGGUAUCUGUUCAUUUACAACAGAUUUAUAAAUUUAUAUUCUGUCCCACUCUCUCUGUCUCUUUCUCUCUCUCUUAUUUUUCAUGUUCUAAAAUUUUAAUUUCAUUCUCUCUUUCUUUUUCUUUUUUAUCAUGUUCUAAAAUUGUGACUAUAUUCUCUCAGUCUGGAUUUCUCUGAUGCUGCUUCAUUGAUAAUUCUAAAUAUAGGUUUUAAAUAUUAAAACUAACAUAUUAUUUAACCUUGUUCAAGGAUAAAUUGAAUUGGAAAUAGAUAAUUGCUAUUGCCUUGCAGGAAAUAUUUUUGUACAUUUAAUAGUUUGUCACCCUCCGUCUUUGUGCGUCUCGCGGCCUAUCUCUCUCUCUGUAUGUCUCAUGUUUCAUGAUCUAAAAUUAUGAUUUUAUUCUCAUUUUUCACAUGAAUGAAAUUGUGAUUUUAUUCCCCGCC